GAAGCCACACCGCUCGCAAGCUCUUGUGAGAACUGAGGUGGGGAGAGGCCCAAGGAGGCAAUGAAUAAAAUGCUUGUUGACCACAUUUUGUAAAGAGCUGUGUACGGAGGAAGACACUUCAUCACGUGCUGCCAAACAAUUCAAGUACUUGAAAAUGUCAAGAGGCAUUGAUGCAACUGAGACUUUCAAGGGGGGAAAAGAGGUUGAGUGGUGCGUGCCUGAGGAGAGCGCCAGACUGAAGGCUCUCCUUUACCAGGGGGCCUCAGGGAGGCGCAUGGAUGGUCGGCUCUCCACCUCUCUCAUUCAGUGAAGAGGUCCACAACCUGGAUUGGAUUUGAUUUAUUUUAUUUUGAUUUUAUUAUUUUAUUUUAUUUUAUUUUAUUUGUUUUUCACAGCCUGUAUUCCAAACACAACUUCUGUGAAACAGUUCUCAGAUGGGGAAUUCCAUUUGAAUUUGGAAGUCUUUUGCCUCUUUUCAUUACUAUAAGGGAGAAUUUUCUCCCGCUUUCUUUAUAUCACAAAAUGAUGGUUCGGUGAGCUUUGACAAUUCACUCUAGUAAAUGUUAUGAAACGAAACAAA